UUGUUCAAUUCGGCAGCACAUUUACUAAAAUUGGAAUAAUACAGAGAAGAUUAACAUGGCUCCUGCACAAGGAUAACACCCAAAUUCAUGAAGCAUCCCAUAUUUUU
rnacentral:snRNA from 1 species